rnacentral:rRNA from 1 species
GAUGAACGCUGGCGGCGUGCCUAAUACAUGCAAGUCGAGCGAACGGACGAGAAGCUUGCUUUUCUGAUGUUAGCGGCGGACGGGUGAGUAACACGUGGAUAACCUACCUAUAAGACUGGGAUAACUUCGGGAAACCGGAGCUAAUACCGGAUAAUAUUUUGAACCGCAUGGUUCAAAAGUGAAAGACGGUCUUGCUGUCACUUAUAGAUGGAUCCGCGCUGCAUAAGCUAGUUGGUAAGGUAACGGCUUACCAAGGCAACGAUGCAUAGCCGACCUGAGAGGGUGAUCGGCCACACUGGAACUGAGACACGGUCCAGACUCCUACGGGAGGCAGCAGUAGGGAAUCUUCCGCAAUGGGCGAAAGCCUGACGGAGCAACGCCGCGUGAGUGAUGAAGGUCUUCGGAUCGUAAAACUCUGUUAUUAGGGAAGAACAUAUGUGUAAGUAACUGUGCACAUCUUGACGGUACCUAAUCAGAAAGCCACGGCUAACUACGUG